GACGAACCGUGCGAACGUUAUUCGGAAUCACUGGGCUUAAAGCGCGUGUAGGCGGGACGGCACGUCGGUCGCUGAAAUCCCCCGGCUCAACCGGGGAACGGGCGCCGAUACGACCGCCCUGGAGGGACGUAGGGGGACCUGGAACUUCCGGUGGAGCGGUGAAAUGCGUUGAGAUCGGAAGGAACGCCCGUGGCGAAAGCGAGGUCCUGGACGUUUCUGACGCUGAGACGCGAAAGCCAGGGGAGCGAACGGGG
rnacentral:rRNA from 1 species